GGCCUCGUGGCCCAAUGGCAAGGCGUCUGACUACGACAGAAUUCAAUCAUGAGUUGAAGUCUACGAUAAUCAGGAGAUUCUGGGUUCGACCCCCAGCGAGGUCA
rnacentral:tRNA from 1 species